rnacentral:rRNA from 1 species
AUGGCAGGGACCGUGCUGAGCAUGGCGAGGUCCAUGAUGGUGGGCGCCAUUAGCAAGGCCGCAUCCGCCGCCGCCGACGAGAUGAGUCUCCUCAUGGGUGUGCGCAAGGAUAUCUGGUUCAUCAAAGAUGAGCUGGAGACCAUGCAGGCUUUCCUGGAGGCUGCUGAAGCAAUCAAGGAGAAAGACAUUCUACUCAAGGUGUGGGCAAAGCAAGUACGGGACCUGUCCUACAAUAUUGAAGAUUGCCUUGGUGAAUUCAUGGUGCAUGUGGCAAGUCAAAGCAAGUUAAGGAAGAUGAUGAAGCUCAAAGACCGCCAUCGAAUCGCCAUACAAAUCCGUGAUCUCAAAUCAAGAGUUGAGGAAGUGAGCAGCAGGAACACACGCUACAACCUGAUUGAGAAGAACCAAGUCAGCAGAACUGUUGAUGAGAGGUAUUCUUGCAUCGAAGAUAUUCGCAACCAAUCAGGUAGCAAUAUUGAUGAAACUGAACUUGUGGGGUUUUCCAAGCCCAAACAAGAGUUGAUAAAUAUUCUAGAUGUCCAUGCCAAAACUGGCCCUGCUCAGGUAGUAUGCGUGGUCGGCAUGGGUGGCUUGGGUAAGACUACUCUUACAAGGAAGGUUUAUGAAAGUAUUGAAAACUUUUCAUGUCGUGCUUGGAUCACUGUCUCGCAGUCAUUUGCCAGGAUGGAGCUUCUCAAAGUUAUGAUCGAAGAACUUUUUGGUGAUGAAGCAUUGAAGAGGCAACUUGAAGGGAAGGUAGUGCGAGCAGAUGAUCUCGCCGACUACCUUAGGAAAAAGUUACAUGAGGAAAGGUACUUCAUUGUUCUUGAUGAUGUAUGGAACAUUGAUGAUUGGAAGUGGAUCAGUAGUUCUGCUUUUCCUAGCAAUAACAAUAAAGGUAGCCGGAUAAUGGUGACAACACGAGAUGUUGGCUUAGCUGAGGAGUGUGGUUUGGGUUCUUCUAGAUCCCUUAUCUACCACCAUGCACCCCUAGAAACACAAGAUGCCAUAAACUUGCUACUAAGGAAGGCUAGGAAAUGUGAGGAAGACAUGAAAAAUGAUGAGAACAUGAGACAAAUAGUUAUGAAGAUAGUUAAAAAGUCUGGACGGUUACCCCUAGCUAUACUCACACUAGGAGGCUUGCUUGCCACCAAAGUGGUAACUGAGUGGCAAAGUAUUUAUAACCAAAUCCCCUUAGAGCUAGAGAGCAACCGAAGCCUUGAAGCAAUGAGGAGGAUGGUUACCCUGAGUUAUAACCACUUGCCCUCUCAUCUUAAGUCAUGUUUUUUGUAUUUGAGCAUAUUUCCUGAGGAUUUUGAAAUCAAGAGGAGGCGUCUGGUAGAAAGAUGGAUAGCCGAGGGCUUUGUUAUAGCCAUGCAUGGGGUUAGUGUUACAGAUGUUGGGAAUAGUUACUUUGAUUGCCUAAUAAACCGAAGCAUGAUCCAGUCAUCAAGUGUGAAUGUAGAGGGAACUAUGAAGAGUUGUCGAGUCCAUGAUAUCGUUCGUGAUGUCAUGAUCUCAAUUUCUAGAGAUGAAAGAUUUGCAUGCUCGACAUGGGAUAAUGUGAGUGCAAUAACAGGGGAGAACUUCCGUCAUGUAGCAUAUCAUGGUGGUGAGAGCCCAAAUAAAAGCAUGGAUUGGGGGCACGUCCGGUCAUUAACAAUUUUUGGUGAGAGAUACAUGAAGCCGGCUCAUUCACUUUUUUCGCCCGACUUCAAGAUGCUUAGAACCUUGGACCUACAUGAUGCCCAUUUUGAACUCACACAAAAAGAAUCCAAUGCUUUAGGGCUGUUACAUCAUUUGAAAUAUGUCAAAAUUAUUGGCCAUCCUGGUGAAGGUUUAUAUGUUCACAAGCUCCCAAGAUCCAUAGGUAACCUACAAGGCUUGCAAACUUUGGACAUGAGAAACAGUUAUGUUGCAUCACUACCAACUGAGAUCACAAAACUGCAAUGCCUUCGUAGCCUCCGAGUUAGGAAAAGAAAUAUGUAUCAUAAUUUAUGCCUAUAUUACCCUAAGAUCUGCCUCAUGUCCGCAUUUUGUAUGCCUUAUGUGUUCAGUCCUUUAGUUAGUCAUGCCAAUCGUAUGGAAUUUAUGAUGGAUUUUCACAUGGUCCGGACCGGCUGUUUGUCCAACUCCAAUGGUGUGAGGGUGCCCAGAGGGAUCAACAACUUGAAGGAGUUAGAGAUACUAGAGUAUGUUGACAUUGAGCGAACUAGUAGGAAAGCAGUUAAAGAGCUUGGUGAGCUAAUAAAGCUAAGAAAGCUGAGUGUCAUGCUAGGGGCAAGCAAGCAAAAGAGCAAGAUACUUCGUGCAUCUAUUGAGAAGCUCACUUCCCUCCGCUCUCUUUAUGUGGAAUGUAAUUGGACAAGUGGUCUCAAGUGGUUGCAUUCUAUUUCCUCUGCCCCCCCUCUCUUGAGGUCUUUGUCUCUGUUUGGUGUUCUUGGGGAGAUGCCUGGCUGGUUUGGGGAUCUGGUGCAUUUGGUGAAGCUUUCAUUAUGGUCAAGCAAUCUAGCAGAUGGAGAUAAAAGUAUGAAAAUACUGGGCGCACUUCCCAAGCUCAUGUCCCUUAAUCUUUGUUAUGGCUCUUAUGCUACAGAAAAACUAGUCUUCAAACCAGAAACAUUCUUAAACCUCAGGUAUCUUGGUUUUUUCUGUGAGUCUCAACCGAGAGAGUUGAUAUUUGAGGAAGGCACCUCGCCCCAGUUGGAAAAGAUAAAAAUCGUACAGGGCAGGUUGGAAUCAGGGGUUACUGGUAUCAAACACCUUCCAAGACUCAAGGAGAUUUGGAUUAGUCACGCUGCUAGAGUUGCGAGGCUUGGUGUGCUGGAAGGUGAAGUCAACGCACACCCCAACCGUCCUGUGCUCCGACUUUCUGAGAGCCGAAGUUACCAUGACCUGGGGGACAUCGUCGAAGGAUCCGGUGUACAAGUGGAAGCAACGGUGGAGUCAUCCGUUCCGGCCCCGGCAGCGGGAGAGGGCUCACAAUUGGCGGCCAUGCUUGAGGAGAGCGACAGCGAAGAUGACCUGCGCUGA